AGGCGCGAAAGCGUGGGGAGCAAAACAGGAUUAGAUACCCUGGUAUUCACGCCGUAAACGAUGAGUGCUAAGUGUUAGAGGGUUUCCGCCCUUUAGUGCUGCAGCUAACGCAUUAAGCACUCCGCCUGGGGAGUACGGUCGCAAGACUGAAACUCAAAGGAAUUGACGGGGGCCCGCACAAGCGGUGGAGCAUGUGGUUUUAAUUUGAAGCAACGCGAAGAACCUUACCAGGUCUUGACAUCCUCUGACAACUCUAGAGAUAGAGCGUUCCCCUUCGGGGGACAGAGUGACAGGUGGUGCAUGGUUGUCGUCAGCUCGUGUCGUGAGAUGUUGGGUUAAGUCCCGCAACGAGCGCAACCCUUGAUCUUAGUUGCCAGCAUUUAGUUGGGCACUCUAAGGUGACUGCCGGUGACAAACCGGAGGAAGGUGGGGAUGACGUCAAAUCAUCAUGCCCCUUAUGACCUGGGCUACACACGUGCUACAAUGGAUGGUACAAAGGGCUGCAAGACCGCGAGGUCAAGCCAAUCCCAUAAAACCAUUCUCAGUUCGGAUUGUAGGCUGCAACUCGCCUACAUGAAGCUGGAAUCGCUAGUAAUCGCGGAUCAGCAUGCCGCGGUGAAUACGUUCCCGGGCCUUGUA
rnacentral:rRNA from 1 species